UACGAAGGGGCUAGCGUUGCUCGGAAUUACUGGGCGUAAAGGGCGCGUAGGCGGAUAUCUAAGUUGGGGGUGAAAUCCCGGGGCUCAACCUCGGAAUUGCCUUCAAAACUGGGUAUCUUGAGUUCGGGAGAGGUGAGUGGAACUCCGAGUGUAGAGGUGAAAUUCGUAGAUAUUCGGAAGAACACCAGUGGCGAAGGCGACUCACUGGCCCGAUACUGACGCUGAGGCGCGGAAAGCGUGGGGAGCAAACAGGG
rnacentral:rRNA from 1 species